AAGAACCAAUGCGAUUGCCUCAGUAACGGCGAGUGAAGCGGCAACAGCUCAAAUUUGAAAUCUGGCCCCAGCGGUCCGAGUUGUAAUUUGCAGAGGAUGCUUUUGGCAAGGUGCCUUCCGAGUUCCCUGGAACGGGACGCCAUAGAGGGUGAGAGCCCCGUACGGUCGGUUGCCGAGCCUCUGUAAAGCUCCUUCGACGAGUCGAGUAGUUUGGGAAUGCUGCUCUAAAUGGGAGGUAAACCCCUUCUAAAGCUAAAUAUUGGCCAGAGACCGAUAGCGCACAAGUAGAGUGAUCGAAAGAUGAAAAGCACUUUGAAAAGAGAGUUAAAUAGCACGUGAAAUUGUUGAAAGGGAAGCGCUUGUGACCAGACUUGUGCCUGGCAGCUCAGCCGUCCUUUUGGGCGGUGCAUUCUGCCGGCUCAGGCCAGCAUCAGUUCGUGGUUGGGGAGAAAGGCGGUGGGAACGUGGCUCUUCGGAGUGUUAUAGCCCGCCGCUAUGCCCUUCUGCGGACUGAGGUUCGCGCUCUGCAAGGAUGCUGGCGUAAUGGUCAUCAGCGACCCGUCUUGAAACACGGACCAAGGAGUCGUCCUAAUAUGCGAGUGUUCGGGUGCCAAACCCCUGCGCGUAAUGAAAGUGAACGGAGGUGAGAGCUUCGCGCAUCAUCGACCGAUCCUGAUGUUCUCGGAUGGAUUUGAGUAAGAGCAUAUUGGGCCGGACCCGAAAGAAGAUGAACUAUGCGUGGAUAGGUAAAGCCAGAGGAAACUCUGGUGGAGCUCCCAGCGGUUCUGACGUGCAAUCGAUCGUCAAUCUGCGCAUGGGGGCGAAAGACUAAUCGAAUCUUCUAUAC
rnacentral:rRNA from 1 species